rnacentral:rRNA from 1 species
UGGGGAAUAUUGCGCAAUGGGCGAAAGCCUGACGCAGCGACGCCGCGUGAGGGACGAAGGCCUUCGGGUUGUAAACCUCUUUCAGUAGGGACGAAGCGAAAGUGACGGUACCUACAGAAGAAGCGCCGGCCAACUACGUGCCAGCAGCCGCGGUAAUACGUAGGGCGCAAGCGUUGUCCGGAAUUAUUGGGCGUAAAGAGCUCGUAGGCGGUCUGUCGCGUCGGUUGUGAAAACCCAAGGCUCAACCUUGGGCCUGCAAUCGAUACGGGCAGACUAGAGUACUGCAGGGGAGACUGGAAUUCCUGGUGUAGCGGUGGAAUGCGCAGAUAUCAGGAGGAACACCGGUGGCGAAGGCGGGUCUCUGGGCAGUAACUGACGCUGAGGAGCGAAAGCGUGGGGAGCAAACAG